AUACGAUCUAAGGACGAAANACGGGGGACGUCGCAAGAGCUCGCGCGAUUGGUAGCGGCCGAUAUCAGAUUAGGUAGUUGGUGGGGGUAAAAGGCUCACCAAGCCAACGAUCUGUAGCUGGUCUGAGAGGACGACCAGCCACACUGGAACUGAGACACGGCCCAGACUCCUACGGGAGGCAGCAGUGGGGAAUUUUGGACAAUGGGCGCAAGCCUGAUCCAGCAAUGCCGCGUGCAGGAUGAAGGCCUUCGGGUUGUAAACUGCUUUUGUACGGAACGAAACGGUGAGCUCUAAUACAGUUUGCUAAUGACGGUACCGUAAGAAUAAGCACCGGCUAACUACGUG
rnacentral:rRNA from 1 species